rnacentral:rRNA from 1 species
GAUGAACGCUGGCGGCGUGUUUAACACAUGCAAGUCGAGCGAGAAAUCGCUCAGUUGACUCUUCGGAUGAAACAGAGCGACGGAAAGCGGCGGACGGGUGAGUAACGCGUAGGCAACCUGCCCUUUGCAGAGGGAUAGCCUCGGGAAACCGGGAGUAAAACCUCAUAAUGCGUAUUAAAGACAUCUUUGAUACGCCAAAGAUUUAUCGGCAAAGGAUGGGCCUGCGUCUGAUUAGUUAGUUGGUAAGGUAACGGCUUACCAAGGCAGCGAUCAGUAGCCGACCUGAGAGGGUGAACGGCCACAUUGGAACUGAGACACGGUCCAAACUCCUACGGGAGGCAGCAGUGGAGAAUCUUGCACAAUGGGGGAAACCCUGAUGCAGCAACGCCGCGUGAAGGAAGAAGGCCCUUGGGUCGUAAACUUCUGUUCUAAGGGAAGAUAAUGACGGUACCUUAGGAGCAAGUCCCGGCUAACUACGUGCCAGCCGCCGCCGUAAAAC